rnacentral:lncRNA from 1 species
CACAGGUACCCCAUCCUUCCCCCCAAAUCAGUCUCACUUUCCUGAAGAAAAUACAUCAAAUUCUCAGGAUACGUUAUUCCAUGACAGUCAAAACUCCUUGAGAUAUAAACAUAACCUAACAAGGACUUGGAUAACAAAUACUUGGAUAAUAAAAACAUCCAAUAAUUAUGUGCCACCUACUCACCAGGAUCAUGCCCCCACAGGAAAAUGUGGAACAAAGCUCUCCUCAAGGGGAAAGAAAACGGUAUGUACUGUGUGCCACUGCAUGCCAGGCACUAGGCUGGGAGCCGGGGCUGUAACCCAGACAUCAUUGCAAUACGGUGGGAAGCAUCACAGGAGAGUGACUGGAUCUGAUUUAUGAUGAUUGAGAAUAUUUUCCUCAUUAUGAAUCUUUUUUCCUGCCCUGUAAGUCAUGACUUGUAAAUAAGUAGUGGUUUUCAU